GCUCCUACUCCCCCACUCCGAGGUCUCCAGCUCCCACAGCUCUGUUUGCAUUUGUUCGAAGCUUUAGGCUACUUGUCUGCAGAGCUGCAGGCCAUCUCUGAGGACCGCUCCAGGCCUAAUAGCAGGAUCCUCAGGACCACUCCCGGGGUGCAACAUGGUCACCAGCUGUGCAGUUUGGGGUUUCUAGUGCCCUCAGAAUUCAGAGGGUGCUGCCAACAGGCCUCAUCUGUACUUGAAAUGAGGGAGCGAUUGACCUUAUAGAAAGGUCUUUUUCUUGAAGUCAGAUCCUCUAACACAUUUAUCCGUGGGACUCAGGACAUCCAGAGAAAAUGUCCAUACCCCCUUUUUGAUGUGGAGAGCCCCAGGGAAAACCGACAGUCUUCAAGAUUGGAGGCCCCUCCCCCACCUCCCAGUCCAAUUCCCCCAAGUGAGUUUAAGUAGGUGGAACGGGAGGUGGGGGGUUGGAUUUUCAUUAUCAUCAGAAAGAAAGGAGCACUAAAGAUAUCAAUAGAAUGGAGUUUUAUAAAUGGCAUUGUCUCAAUUCAUCACCAGUCAGUGUACACAGCGUUAUUUUUAUCUAAAUUAUUUUCAGAACAAGAAUAAGAUUCAUAUGUUAAAUUAAACAACUGUUACUCUAUUUAGUUUCAUUUUAUGGUUAAUGAAACCAUGAAGACAAUGAGAACUUGUAAUAGGUCUGGAAAAUAUUAUUACUGAGCUGAUAAAAAAGAAUGUAAAUACUGGCCUAUAAAUUAGCGCGGUACACUCAAAUAAGAAAUAUUUCUAUUUUAACGUGAACUAAUGAAAACAAAUACUCCACAGAGAAAAUGACAAGGAACAACUUGUUGCCAGGCAGGUGACAAAUCAAGAAACAUGAAGCUAAACUGAAGAAAGAUGAGUCACUCACCAGGUGACGAAAUCACGAAAUGAAAUUACACAGUGUCUCGUCUGAUUUGUGCUGCCGUAACGGAAUGUCUGAAGACAGAUCAUUUAUAAAGAAGAUCCAUUUACUCUGGCUCAUGGAUCUACAAGGCCAAGAGCAAGACGCUACCAUCUUUUCAGUUUCUGGUAGACAGCUCUUCCUUGACUCCCUUCAGGAAACGCAAAACAUGGGCCGACCUGAGCUGGGACUUGGCUGAGAAGCAGAACCAUCCAAUCAACAGUCCCUCAAUGUCCACCCAGCUGGGACCUCUCUGCUCCCUGGCUAAGGCCUCAGGGACCUCCAGGUAGAGUGGGAAAGACCCAGGCUACUGGGGAGCAGGGCUCCUUCCUGGAAAGCUCUCCUACCUUCAUUCCGGGAGCAAGGGUCACCAAAGUUGUUUAAGACCAUGGAGGUGGGGGGAGGGUGCAAAUGGGGCCUGGCUUGGAGCCUCCACCUUUCUUCAUCAUACCAUGGUAUCUGCUGAAGCUGAUCAGAAUCCAGGCCUUAGCCCAGAGGUGUCCAGAGACGGCAUCUUCUGGAAGGCUCUUGGUGAGUCUACAGGGGGAAUUGGGUGUGCUGAUGCUGUAGAAUCCAGGACACAGAAGAUCCUUGCAAUGGUUGAAUCCCAGUCAUCGCAGGGGACCAUAAAAUCCUCACAGAGCAGAAGAGGAGAGAGACUCCAGCUGCCUGGCACAUCAGGGCACGUGACCCAUCUGCUCUCUACCCACCCCGGCAGGUCCCGCCUCUGCUUCCUUGAACCCUUCUGCUGAUGCAAGCCCUGGCCUGGGAGGGCCGGCAUCCCCCUGCAGCCCUCCUGCAGCUGCCUCCUUUGGAUCUUUUUGCGGUCUGGGCUUGCUGUUCUCUCGACAGUAGUCAGGAAGCCCUUACCCCAAAAAGUAUCUACGGGGGGCGUGGUCUACAGGGGAGACCUCCAAGGGUUCCAGGUGAGUCAUACCAAACCCAAUGUUUGUGUUGCUGGGUGACCACGGGUCAAGCCCUAAAGCUGUGCUUCUCAGCCUUCCUAAUGCUGUGACCCCUUAGUACAGUUACUCAUGUUGUGGUGACCCCUAACCAUAAAAUUGUUUCAUUGCUAUUUCAUAACUAAUUUUCCCCUUUAUGAAUUGUAAUUAUCUGAUAUGCAGGUUAUCUGAUAUGUGACCCCCAAAAGGGCUGUGUGACCCACAGGUUGAGAACUGCUGCCCUAAGGCUUUCUGUGCCCAGUCACCUCCUACCUGUAACCCUUGCCUGGUAGGCAGUGUUCACUGAGUGGCUCCAGUCUAGGCCAGAGAAGGCCACUUGGGUGAAUGUCGCUGGCCACCGUGGGCGCUCCCGGCAGGACUGUCACUCGGUAUGUCCAACCCUCCCUGUGCAUCGAGGAGACAUGAGAUCCGAGACAGGCCUGGCUGUCGGUGUGCAGACCUGGGACGGGGAAACCACAGUUGAUCGGACUGAUCCCAGCAGCCAUGCGAAGAGAAGAUGAUGAGCUUCUGCCCAGGAUGAGGUGCCUGGCAUCUGCCCUCCCUUAGCCUGAGUGGCCACUAUCUCCUUCCUCCCUCGAGUCACUACAAAUCCUUCAAAUAAAAUCCUUGACUGUUCAUGAAAAUGGAGUGGAUACCUUUACUUACCGCUGAUUCAGAGCCCUCUAGAGGGAGGAGAGGGGAUUGCACACGCUGGGGUAAAGGGCCCGACCUGGGGGAAAUCUGUCAGCGUCCUGAGAGGAGGCCACUUGGGUGCGUUGACGAAGGUCCAUAGUCAAGGGCCGAGUUAAAAUCCAGAGGAACUAUCUAAAGGUGAGUGCCGUGUGGAGAUAAAGAUCAGAGGACCGACAUAACAUAGAAAGAUUUAAAAUCACCGGGUCCUCAGUUUCCAGAGGUGGUAAGGACAGGUAAUGACAAUUUGACGGAGUUGGGGAUGCCUCUGCAGCUGUGGUGAAGUCACAGCCGGUCGGGGGUGACCACAUGGGUAUCCAUCUCAUUCCCCUCCUCCCCCAUCCCACCAAGGUUGAAAGGCCCCAAGUAGAGAGGAGGCCAGCUCGGUGCCUUUCCUUAUCUGGAUCUUUCUACGCUCUACAUCCAGGUGCGGCGUGGGGGGCAGCCCAAGGCGAGGGGUACAGCGUCAGUCUCAUUAUCUAUCAACAAUGCCACAGAUCUUGAGAAAUGAAGCCCCCAGAAGGCUCCAUCCCCGUGCAGAAGCCACAGGAGGCAAAUCUAAGGCGGCACGUGAGCGGGUGUGGGAACCUCACAGUAAGUGAGCCUGAGUGGGGCUGGAAGUGCGCUGCGGAGGUUCGGGAAAGAGAGCUGAGUUCACAGGCUCUGAUGCUCCCGGACCUCCCCAUUCUGACCCCAAACACAGCAGAUUCGCUAGGCUACCAGCCCCCGCGUGCGAGUGGCAACGGUGUGCAUGGCUCAUGGGCGGCAUCGUGCGGUCAUCGUGGGGUAGUUCCCUUUACAGCCUCCCUUGUGAGUUACUCUAGAGUCUUUCCCAGCAGAUUAGGAAAGCAGAGCAGUCCCAUCCCGAAGGGCGCAGAGCCUGGGGCGGGGUGGCAGUAGGUGGGGAAGGUUGAUAAUGUGAGGCGUCCUUCAGUGAGCUUGUUUACAGCUCGCUCAUCACCUGGGACGAAUCGCCCCCUCAAAAUGGGUUUCUGCGUCUACAAUCUGGGCAUUUGACUGCCCCUAGCUCCUUAGUCGAGUAUCUCAAGUCACAGUUCUGUUCCUUCGGGGAGCUGUUCCGGUUAGAAGGCAUCUUUCAGAAAAGAUUUCAGAUUCCGAUGUAUAUAGGAAGAACCUGGCCUUGUGAGUCGGUCAGAUCUGGAGCCAGAGAUCCCAGUCUUCCUGUACUAGCUGUGUGCUCUCGGGACAGCUGCGAGCCCUCCCAGGGCUUGUCUCCUCAUCCACAAAACAAGCACCUGAUGCCUUCAACCAGAACUGAAGGUGGAACCCAGGGACAUCAUAAAAAGCCUCCACUCACACCGUUCCAGGCUUCAGCUUGGGUGGAUUCAUGAGAAAGGAAUCCAGGUAUUGACAUUUGGAAAUGGGAGUUGCUGAAUGCCUAAGGAAUGCGGUUCUACAGCAGUACCCUGGGAAAGACAGAGAAAGAAAAAAGCUAAAGGAAGAACUAGUUUUGAAGUAUUGCAACCUUACAGCAAAAUACAAAGAGAAAUAGAACAAGGACCUCGUACCCUGCCCAAGAAACGGCAGAAGCUAACAUUUUGCUGUAUUUGCAUCGGAUUCUUAAAACAAACAACAACAACAAUAAAAGACCUUGAACACCUG